rnacentral:lncRNA from 11 species
AUGUUGCAGUGCUGGGCGCAUAAACCAGAAGACCGGCCGACUUUCGUGGCCCUGCGGGACUUCCUCCUGGAGGCGCAACCCACGGAUAUGCGAGCCUUGCAAGACUUCGAAGAGCCCGACAAGCUGCUCAUCCAGAUGAAUGAUAUCAUCACGGUCAUCGAGGGCAGGUACGUGGGCCGAGGUUCCCAGAGGUUUGUGCGUCUCCGGUCCGGUUUGAACAGUGGGAUAUGUAGCAGUACAUGUGCGCCUUGGCAAUGUUUGUAUUAUUUCCUUUUCCUCCUUCCCAUGCUCAGAACAUGGGAAAAGCCAUGUAAGUUAGCGACCGUAUUUACUCGAGUCUCAUGCGCCUUCGAAUCUAAUGUGCACUUUCAUUUUCACAGCCCUGAAAUUGUUGUAGAUCAGACAGAGGCUGAUGGUUUAACUGAUGGUUUAGAGAGGAUUAUGGACUUUCCUGUGACACAAAGCGGUGGGCUCUUAAGUCUGGGAAAUUCAGGUCUGGGAAAUGAUGUUUCUCUCAGCAAGAAAACUGGCUCGGAAAGUGCCGAGCCUCAGAAAGUGCCGGUCUGAGGGGUCAAUAGUAGAUAAGGAUUUGUGUGAAGAGCUGAGUGAUAAGGAGGGUUCCCAGAAGAAGCUACCUAUAGCUAUGGAGUCUCCGUUUACAAAUCAGAGCCGAAAAUAGAGUAAGUUGGGAAGAAAGUCACUGGCAUGACUCCAUGGAGUGCCGUUACCUUCCCGCUGGAGCGGUACCUAUUGAUCUACUCACAUUUGAAUGUUUUUGAACUACUAGGUUGGCAGAAGCUGGGGCUAACAAUGAGAGCUCACUCCACUCUCUGCAAGUUCAACAGCAGAGCCGGGCUGUGGCGCAGGUUGUUGAGCAGCUGCAAUAAAUCACUCUGACCAUGAGGUCAUGAGUUCGAGACCAGCCUGUGGCGGGGUGAGCACCCGUCAAUUAAAAAUAAAAAAUAGCCCCUGCUCGUUGCUGACCUAGCAACCCGAAAGAUAGUUGCAUCUAUCAAGUAGGAAAUAAGGUACCACUUAUAAAAGUGGGGAGACUAAUUUAACUAAUUUACAACAUUGGAAUGAGGAAGUGCCGUCAGAGUGGAUGAUGAAGCAGCUGCUCCCCCCUGUGGCCAGAAUCGAACAUCCCCUCAGGAGAAGGUUAAAUUGCCUCUGCGUCUGUCUGUCUCUGUCUCGGUUCUAUGUGUUUAUGGGCAUUGAAUGUUUGCCCUAUGUGUGUAUAAUGUGAUCCACCCUGAGUCUCCUUCGGGGCGAGAAAGAAGGGCGGAAUAUAAAUACUGAAAAUAAAUAAAAUAAAUAAACAGCUCAGCGGUUUAACCCUCUGCGCCACCGGGGUCUCUCAAAACCUCCAAGGGAGACUCCAUUCCGGCCCAGGUCUUGUGCCAAAAGUAAGCUGCCCAAUCCUUUUGAGUGGCCCAUCUUCUGGAGCAGGACCCCAACCAUCCUUCCCUUGAGUCACUUCUGGGUGUGCUUUUCUGCCCCAAGGGCUGGCAGCCACAGCCCUCCUCUGGGCCUUCUUCCUUCCUUUCUUCCUUUCUUUCCCUUUCAUGUCUUUCGCUUACGCCCCCGCACUCUGCCGCUCCCUGCCUCCCACGCUCCACCGGCUCCUCCGGGUGGUUGUUUUCCCAAGAAGGCUCACAAGCCGGGGCAGAAGGGCUCGCUUGCCAAGGCAGCAACAGCCCUGCGUGGGAGCAAGGGACCUCACCACCGAUAGGAUCAUAGCAUCGGAAGGGGUCCCCUGAGGCCAUCCAGCCCAACCCCGUUCUGCCAGGCAAGAGGACACCUUCUGUGCCGUACCAGAAGAAGGAGAGAGACUCCACCACACUCUUAGGAAGCAUAUUCCUCUGUCACGUAGGAAGUUCUUCCUGAUGUUCAGGUGGAGUCUCCUCUCUUGUCGUUUGAAACCGCUGCUCCAUUACGUCUUGGUUUCUGGAGCAGCAGAAGACAAAGUUUCCCCUUCCACAAUAUGUCAUCCUAUCAAAUAUGUAAAUAUUUGUAGAAUAUGUGUAGAAGGGCCUUGAGUCUACACUGCCAUAUAAUCCAGUUAAAAUCAGAUAAUCUGCCUUGGUCAGACCACACCUGGAAUACUGAGUCCAAUUCUGGGCACCACAGUUGAAGGGAGAUGUUGACAAGCUGGAAAGCGUCCAGAGGAGGGCGACUAAAAUGAUUAAGGGUCUGGAGAACAAGCCCUAUGAGGAGCGGCUUAGAGAGCUGGGCAUGUUUAGCCUGCAGAAGAGAAGGCUGAGAGGAGACAUGAUAGCCAUGUACAAAUACGUGAAGGGAAGUCCUAGGGAGGAGGGAGCAAGCUUGCAUUCUGCUGCCCUGCAGACUAGGACACAAUGGAACAAUGGCUUCAAACUACAGGAAAGGAAGGAGAUUCCACCUGAACAUCAGGAAGAACUUCCUCUCUGUGAGAAGGGCUGUUCGACAGUGGAACUCUCUCCCCCGGGCUGUGGUGGAGGCUCCUUCCUUGGAGGCUUUUAAGCAGAGGCUGGAUGGCCAUCUGUCGGGGGUGCUUUGAAUGCGAUUUCCUGCUUCUUGGCAGGGGGUUGGACUGGAUGGCCCAUGAGGUCUCUUCCAACUCUACUAUUCUAUGAUUCUAUGAUUAUAGGCAGUGUGGAAGAGGCCAGAGGCCUAACUGCCUGUCCCCUGGGCUGAGUAGGUUGCUAGGAGACCAAGUGGGCGGAGCUUAUCCCUCUAACUGGCAGCAUUUGGAUAAAAACAAUUAUUCCUUUCCCUGUAAUUAGGACUUUAUUUUUCUUUUCUUUUUGUUGUAUCUACCUAGAGCCGUGAAUGAUGGGUUGUGUUGUCAAAUUUCGAGGUUGGGGGGCCUGUAGUUUUGUUGUUUUGUCCGCUGCCCUGAUGCCAUCACUCUUUUAUAUAUAUAGAUAGAGUUGGAAGAGACCACAUGGGACAUCUAGUGCAGGCAUGGGCAAACUUCGGCCCUCCAGGUGUUUUGGACUGCAACUCUCACAAUUCCUACCGUGUUUUCCCGAAAAUAAGACAGUGUCUUAUAUUAAUUUUUGCUCCCAAAGAUGCUCUAGGUCUUAUUUUCAGGGGAUGUCUUAUUUUUCCAUGAAGAAGAAUUCACAUUUAUUGUUGAACAAAAAAAAUGAACAUUUAUUAUAUCCUGUACAGUAGUUGUCAUCACAAACCAGCAUAGCCAGACAAACUGAAUCCUGUCAAGAAUUUCUUGUUACUACCAAUAUUUCCAUGUACAAGACUUUAUGGUACGUACAUUUACCGAUCCUGCAUGCUCGGGUGUUCUGUUCAGCGGUCAUGCUUCCAAACACAAACUUUGCUAGGUCUUACUUUCAGGGGAGGCCUUAUAUUUAGCAAUUCAGCAAAACCUCUACCAGGUCUUGUUUUCUGGGGAUGUCUUAUUUUAGGGGAAACAGGGUAACAGUCGUUGUCGUUGUUGUUGCUGUUAUGAUUUUAGGAAGCUACUUUUUCUAUUGUGGUCACUGUCCUGGGUUAGUAAAAAAGGUAAAGGUUUCCCCUGACGUUAAGUCCAGUCAUGUCUGACUCUGAGAUGGUGCUCAUCUCCAUUUCUAAGCCGAAGAGCCAGCGUUGUCCGUAGACACCUCCAAGGUCAUGUGGCCACUGGCAUGACUGCAUGGAGCGCCAAUGUUACCUUCCCGCCGGAGCGGUACCUAUUGAUCUACUCACAUUGGCAUGUUUUCGAACUGCUAGGUUGGCAAAAGCUGGGGCUAACAGCGGACGCUCACUCCGCUCCCCGGAUUUGAACCUGGGACCUUUCGGUCUCCAGCCCAGUGCUUUAACGCACUUUGCCACCGGGACAGACCAAAGUCUUGUCUUAGUCUGUGGCAGUUUCAUCCAUUUGUUUUAGGCAGGGAUGUCG